rnacentral:rRNA from 1 species
AGGUGCUGCACGGCUGUCGUCAGCUCGUGUCGUGAGAUGUUGGGUUAAGUCCCGCAACGAGCGCAACCCUCGUCACUAGUUACUAACGGUUCGGCCGAGGACUCUAGUGAGACUGCCUUCGUAAGGAGGAGGAAGGUGAGGACGACGUCAAGUCAUCAUGGCCCUUACGGCUAGGGCAACACACGUGCUACAAUGGUUGGGACAGUGAGACGCGAUACCGCGAGGUGGAGCAAAUCUAUAAACCCAAUCUCAGUUCGGAUUGUAGUCUGCAACUCGACUACAUGAAGCUGGAAUCACUAGUAAUCGUAGAUCAGCUAUGCUACGGUGAAUACGUUCCCGGGUCUUGUACUCACCGCCCGUCACACCAUGGGAGUUGAUUUCACCCGAAGCGGGGAAGCUAAACUGGCUACCCUCCACGGUGGAAUCAGCGACUGGGGUGAAGUUCAAGCAACAUC